CAAAACCACCGGGAAAAAUCACAACGGAGUUCAUCGUAGCGUGAAGUUGUUGCUGUUUUGUAAAAUGGUGCAGGAAUUCCAUGUACUGAAGUGCUAUUCUUGUGAGGCAUUCCAAGUGCAACAGGUCAAAAAGAGCAAACAAUGGAAUUGUAAGAUGUGUGGAGAGAAGCAGUCUAUUAUCAAGGUGUUCGGCCGUGGCUCAGGUGUUGACUGUCGACGUCAUGUGCAGAAACUAAACACCAGGCGCGGGGAGAUUCUGGAGGAUCAAAACCAGAAUGCUUGGUUACGAUGCGUGAGCUAGGGAGAACACAGGAGAGGAAGUUGAAGGGAAUGAGCUGGGAGACAAGGCCCAGGAACAUGACAACCACACCGUGGUGGACAUUCAGAGGAGUCGCUGGAGUAAAUACCUGCUGAACCCUUCAGGUGUUCCCAGUCCUGAGGAGGAGGGAGAGGAGGAGAAUGUUUCCAUGGACAGGAACCACAGUCCUGCCAGCAGAAACAUCCGGAAGAGGAAGAGAGGUCGAGGAGGAAGUACUUAUCAAACUAGAGAAGAACACAGAGAAACUUCCCAUGGCGAUUGGAGGACUGCUGGGAAAAAGACUGUAGCACACCCCAGAACAUUCCCCAGCUCAUCUGCUACAGCCGAGGGGUCUGCUUCCUGCAGGUCUGCCCCAGCCCGUACUAACCCUAACCCUGGGCGGGCCACCAGCCAACCGCCACCUUCAACCCCAACCACCAGCCAACUCCCUUUGAAACCUGCUGUCCCCAACACACUCAAUACCAGUUCUUGCCGGCCUGUAUCUUCUGCUGACGCUGCAGUGUCCAAGACGUCUAGGUGGGCCCAGUUCCUGACCAGUCCCUCACCAGAGGAGCAGGAGGAAGAAUUCCUCAGCCAGCAUGUGGACAGAGAUGGAGAUCCAGUCCAGGACUAUACCAAGGCUCCUGCUACACUGCCAGGCUGUGCUAGCUCCUCCCUGGGUCAUAACUCCUCCUCCCUGGGUCAUAACUCCUCCCAGCUUGCUAGCUCCUCCCUGGGUCAUAGCUCCUCCUCCCUGGGCCAUAGCUCCUCCUCCCAGAAUGCUAGCUCCUCCUCCCUGGGUCUCCUCCCAGAGGAUGGGUUCUUGGGGAGGAAGUUAGGGAGCAGUUUCAGCAGACUGCGGUCCACUUUCAGCCUCUGUGGGUUUGGGGAUGUCACUCACGGCAACCGAGGCCCUGCCCCCGUAGCGUUACAUCAGAGGGAGGAGACUGUCUGUCAUCAGCCGCCGCCCACCAAGAGGCCAUGCCCCUCCCUCCCUGCCGCGUCUCUUUUCAACACGGACGAGGACUUCGAUGAUGCGUUUGAACUGUGACUCACUCACCAGUCUUGGUCUGAACUGUGACUCACUCACCAGUCUUGGUCUGAACUGUGACUAACUCACCAGUCUUGGUCUGAACUGUGACUCACUCACCAGUCUUGGUCUGAACUGUGACUCACUCACCAGUCUUGGUCUGAACUGUGACUCACUCACCAGUCUUGGUCUGAACUGUGACUCACUCACCAGUCUUGGUUGUUCAUGUGGGUGAUGUUUGAGACUUAACUGAUUUCCAUGAAAACAGACAUGACACAACAGAAGUUUCUUUUGCUGAAGUGUUUUAUUGUGUCGAAACAGCAGAAAUAACUUCAGUGUUAGACAGUCAUAGUUAUCAUCCCUUCACCCGGUUCCUCUGAAUGGACAGAACAUCACAUCUGGCAAGAAAUACUCUGGAUAAAUGUUGUAAGGUUACAAUAAUAACUAAUAUUAACUUGCAUUGAGGACGCUUUAACAGAUUCACCAUUAGUAAUGAGUAGCAUAUAGUUUGUUUUCUCUUUCAAAUCCAAUUCAUAAUAAUCUAAAUAUGUUGUUAAAUAAAACCUCUUCUACCAUUACAUAUCAGAAA